rnacentral:rRNA from 1 species
CGUCUCAUUCCGCACUUUUUUUUCGGAAAAGGUGUAAUGAACGUUGAGACGGGUAGGAAGGUCGCGACAGUGUUGCUUUGAAGAGUUUUGAGCGUGAGCUCGCUCGGAGCCGCUGUUGGUGCAGAUCUUGGUGGUAGUAGCAAAUAUUCAAGUGAGAACCUUGAAGGCUGAAGUGGAGCAAGGUUCCAUGUGAACAGCAGUUGGACAUGGGUCAGUCGAUCCUAAGAAAACGGCGAAAGCUUGUUCGAAUUUGCGACAUGAAUUGUAAGACUGAAUAAUUAUUUGUGUGUGUGUUGUGGUGGAGGCGAUUGUGUCGUCACCAGUUGUUGUUGUGUGCAGUUGUCGUAUGUUUUCGAAAGGGAAUCCGGUUGAUAUUCCGGAACCGAGUAACGGAGACAAAGAGUAGCGCUUUAAUCUCUCUGUGGGGUUGGCGUUCAACUCAAUCGCGCGGUAACGCAAGCGAACUCGGAAAAUGACCGUCGUGAGUUUCGAAAAGAGUUUUCUUUUCUUUUUAAGGGACGCAUUCCCUGGAACCGGGUUGUCCGGAGAUAGGGAUUC